GUUUCCCUUUUUCUUUAUUUUCUAUUCUGCAUGCACUGAAAGCAGAGGGGGCACGGAAGAAGAGAAACGAAUCAAAAACGGCGGAAAGCUGCGAGCUUGCGAGCGGGACAGAGAUUUGCCCACCCUCUCUUACUCUGCGCACCAUCAGGGAUACAGUCACGUACCCCUUCCUCUCCUCCCCCCUGCCCUUUGCCGCCCAUCCUAGCCGCGAGCGACACCUCUGCAUAUACAGAAAGCCUCAUAUACUUAGCUCUCCUGCGCCCUCUGUUCCGGCGCGUCGCCUGCUCGCACGGGCCUUCUUUUGGCUUAUCAUCCUUCCUGGUUGCUUUGUACGUACUUUGCGCGGCCUCGUGCUCGGCACCCCGCACCUGCGUCACUGCAGCGGCUUUUGCUUUCUCACGCUGUCGUGGCUUCUCUCGUUGCCAUAUCAAGCUGCCUCGUUUAUCUCCAGCUGCCCUCGGCAGGCAAGUCCGGCGCUGGCCGCCGCUCGACAAGGGUGCUUGCUUGGCCCCCUCCAUCUUUUUUCCGUCGUGCACAGCUGGAGGAGAGACAUCGUGGGAGCGAUCGCCAAACACACCGACGCACCGAUACACGUCCACCCACACGCAUUCCACCGGCUGCUUUACCACCUCAUUCCGUGACUCCUCCGAACGAUAGCGAGAAGCGUAAAAAAAAAUACCUUGAACACAUUUGGUUUGCUCAGCGCGCUUGGCAGGGGUGUCUCUGCGUUCAUGUUGUAGCGACUCUUUUCGCGUGUGGCUGCACGGUUCCUUGCACCUGUCCUUCUCGCUCUGUUCCUCACACAUCCCCUCACCUCCUUUUCUCGUUUCCGCAGCCAUCCACAUCCUCCUACUCUUGGGCGUGAGAAGAUCGGGUUUUCUACGUUUUGCUUUCACGGUCUUGAUCCGUGUCUUUGCAGGCAGUUGCACUUACUUUGUAUGCCCAACUGCUUUACUGGCUUCGUUGCCGUUGCCAUCUCUGUGUGUGUGUGUGUGUCUUAUUCAGUGGAGUGAUCGCUUGCACUUGCACCUGGUCGCCGAUUGCCCGACUUCGUUUUUUUUUUUCUUUGGUUUCUCUCUCUUCAGCUAUUCCGCCAUCACCUCCCCCCAUUUUUCCCCCACCCCUUCGUUGCCCCUCGGUGUAUUGGCUACUACUUCUCCUUCCCUUCUCCGCGCUUGGCGGCGGCGUGCCUCCCCAGUCUUCGCCUUCGUGACUUUCCUUCUCCCCGCACGUGCUCCCCUACUCUCUUCUCUUCUAUCAUCCUCGCAGGGCAGCGCAUACACGUCCUUCUCCUUUUAUCUGGUACAUUUCGUGGUGACCUUCGUUCGCUUCUCAUCCCCUCCGUUUUUCUCUCCGUCACCAACGUGGCAGGUUGUCCCACCUGCCGUCUCUCCGGUGGCCGACGAUAAAUCGAUAGUUUUGUAUUUCUUGCUUUUUGUUCAGUUCUUGCGUGAUUGCCCUCUUUCUCUCUCUACGUGGUUGGCUCCAGGCUCGGCGGAUCGGGCCCAGCUUACGGCACACGCCCCCACAUAGAGGACCACGCUGUGACACAGGCGUAUAUACUCUCACGCACAGACACAACAUCGCCGCACACGGGGUUCAUGCUUGCGUGGAACCGCUUCCCCAACAACGCUGCUGGGUCAGCCGAUCCCAAGCAGCUGCAGAUGAUGUUCCCCAACGGCGCUCCCUGCGACUCUGCCAUGCAUCUGGCAGCGUACGGCGAUGCUGCAAACCGUUGUAUCUUUGUCGGCGCUAUGAACGGCAUGCCAGUUCGGCCACCCUCUCCAGCCGCCGCGAGCGCGACGUCGCCAAAUACGGCCGCUGCGGGGCUUCUCGGUGUCCAUUACCCCGGCAGCUACGCCGCACCCCGCCCCGCUGCCGGGUACUACUACCCCCCCUACGCGGCCGUCAAGCAGCACGCCUUUCAGCAACCACAAGCUGCAGGAGUGAUGCUGGGCCAAGUGCCGCCGCCGCCGCCGCCGUGCCAGGCUACCGCAUCUAGCACUACUGCGCUCGCACUCGCGACGCAGCAGCGCAUCGCCGCCGCCUCUAGCCCUUCGUGUGGCCCGCAAAGCGCGUUCACCUCUGCGCCGCUACAUGGAAAGGGACGUGAGAGCCCUCGCAGCGGUCGACAUCGCCGCGGCGACGGCGAGGCGACGGCAACUCCUGCCUCGACAGCGCAGCCAUCUUCCCCCGGUAGGCACGACGGUGGCGGCAUCUAUAGCGAGCGACGUCGCCAUCGCGAUGACCCACCACCUAGUGGUGCCUGCUACACCCGUGCACCGUCGCAGGUGGCGACAGCGACGUUUGGGGAGGUGUUUCCGCCUAGCUCUAGCGGUCCCAACUCACAUAUUGCACCUGCUGCUCCGGCUGCAGCUUGGGGCGCUGCUCAUGAUGAUAAUGACGGCGGUGAUGGUGGUGGCCGGCGACGACGCCGGCGUCGUCACGGCGAUGGCGGCGGUGAGAGGCGCCGAACCGCCUCGCCAAGCUCGCCUCCAGAGCCGCGAGCCGAUGAGGACGCGAAGGAGCCGCACCGACGCCGCCACCGCCAUCGCGGCGAAGUGCGCGGCCAGCACGCCAAAGCCCGCAGCGACACGAAUGCGCCCAAGUCUGCCUCUGCGCACCUUGCCGGUGGCCUCGCCGACACCUCGCGCCACCACCGAUCGAACCAUCGAUCUGGCCAGCGCUGGGGCAGCCCUCCCAAGAGCACUGCCGCCAAUGUUUCGACAUCAACGGGAGCGGCGGCGCCGUCUGUGGGGCCGAUGCCUAUCACCACCCUCGUUACCCCAGUGCUUCAGCCCGUAACAGUGGCCAGCGCGCUGAUGGUAGCGCCCCCGCCAUCGCCGGCAAUGGUGCCUGCUGCGCCACCGGCUCAUAGAGGUGUCCGGAGCCCGCCGCCCAUCUCAGCGGCGGCGCCAUCACCGCCGCCUGGGGUACUACCCACGAGCACCUCAAAGGGCCACCGACGCCACCGAAGCCACCGCCGCACCCCUUCCGCCUCUUUGUCAAGUUCUGGUGGCAGCUCCGACGCGGCGUCGAGGCAAGGGUCGUCGUCGUACCCGUCCUCCGUGUCCUCUCACUCGGAGUCUGCCUCGCGCCCCGCCUCGGCCUCGUCACGCGACCGCCGCCGCCGGCGUCGCAGAGACCGCCGAGGCCGCCGCGACCGCCGCCGAUCGCCACGUGAAGCCUCGCCGUCCUCGAGAUCACGGCCAGCGGCAGGGGAUCCUGUCGGCAGCGCCCCUUCCCCGCCAACGAACAACAACGCCAGCGUCGCUGAAGCUCCCAAGAAGAAGGGAGAAGGCGGCAUUCUGAGUUUUUUCCGGCGCAACAAAUCCGCCGCGGCCGAGGCCGACUCGGCUACAGCCGGUAAAGCCGGAGCGCCGGGCCAGGAGGCGACCGUGAUGAUGCCGCUCACCAUGCCGCAGAAGGCGCUCUACGAUACAUCUAUGAGGCCCUGCGGCGCCGCUGUGGCGCCGCGAGAUGCGGUGACCGGAGUGCAGCACCGCGAGGCGAGCAGCCGCACUGACGCGGCGGGGCAUCGCCGUUGUGAUCGCACGCCGGGGCGCUCACAGCAUCCCGCACCGAGUAGCGGCACCGUGAAUGCUCACAUCCCUCCGCAGCAGGGCAACGGCAGCCACAACCCCAGCGUUGACCCCAGCUCCGCUGUCGCGCCUUCUGGCAAGAGCAAAGGCCUCUUUGGCGGCCUGUUUCGCAGAAAGAAGGACAAGGCAGAUGGGGGCGUCACCGCUGCGGCUGACGCGAGCGCCAACAACGCAAGCACCGUCGGCGGCUGGCCGUCCCCGCCGUCGUGUCCUUCGACGUCCGGCACCUCGGGCAACUUGACAGCGAAGGCGGCAACCACUGUUAGACUCGGCACGUCGUCAACACCUCCGAAAUCUGCGCCUCCCCGUGGCGGAUACGGCGCUGCACCGAUGAGUCUUUCGACAGCACCCAACCCAGCCCUCAUGUCAAAGCCGGACGUCUUGAGGCGCUCUACGAAGAAGAGCAGGGCAGCUGCGGCGCAGGUGCGGCAGGAGCCUCUUCAGCCAAAUGAGCUGCGAAGCCAACUGCAGGCACAGAAGCAGAGCCAGAAUCAACACAGCGGAGGCAAUAGAGGGCACCGCCGAAACGAGAGCCGUGACCACCGAUCACCGGUAGGCGAGCGCGGCGGCCGCACGUCGGGAAACCGCGACGGCAACCCUCGCGGUCGCGGUCGCCGUCGCACCCCCUUGCAAGACUCCAACUCGUGCUCGAGUGACGCAUCAUCAACGUCCUCCAGCACAAAGGCAGCCCCGAAGCGGCACAGCGGCCGCGGAAACAGCGGCAGCAAGUCUGCUCGCGCCCAAGCGAACAACGAAAUCUGAGGCAGCCCCUAGUGCAGUUUCUUCACGCGCGGCUGCGAGAAGAGGAAGAUCGAGAGCGGUAGCGGCACGCAUGGCCCUACGCAACGCUCUUCCCUUUUCCCUUGUUGUUUCAACUGUACAGCUUUUGUUUAUCGUUUCUCAUUCUACCCUCGUCCGAAGGCAUCAGUUCACUCAUCGCAUUGCCCAACACUUUCGGCUAUGUAUGGUGUACAGGCGCGUGCUUGUCUCGCUCUGCGUGUGACCCCCUGCUACUGUACUCCUCACCUCCUCUGCCGUCUCUGUUGAUUUCAUUCAGCCCCGUCCUUUUGUCGUUUUGGAAGUGGUUGUGUCUGUUGUCUGUCUCUUACUUUCCUUCGGCGCUCGUGCCCCCCCCUCUCCCUCCCGCAUCGCCUUCUAUACCUCUCCCACGGCCUCGCAUUCUGUUGGCUUCUUUGUUCGGCUGAGGAGCCAUCGCAUCUUCCGCGUUGUGGGGUGGUGGUGGUGGCGGCUCCCCUCUUUCCGUUGCCACGGUGUCAGCGAAACGCGCGUCAAGCAAAUACAAACCAAAGAAAAGCGAAAUGGGUGUGUGGUGGUGGGGGGGGGCGGCGGAGGCGGAGGAGAAUCCGACCUACGAGGAUGGUGGAUGGACGAACCAGCCGUGCCGGAUGGCUGAUCGUCUCCUCUUUCCUUUGCCCUCCUCCCUUCCUUGUCGUUGCGCCAGUGACUGGGCCAGCAGCGGAGCGGGCAGUGCUGCAAAAGGAUGUGCUCGGUGUCUCUCUAGUCACCGACUUUUCCUCUCACAGAAGCAUGCACCCACACCAACGCCCACGAAGGCCGCCACUUCUUCUUGCGGCUCUCCGCAAACGAAACGAGGAGGGAAGGUGAGCGAAACCAACGACUGUUUGACAGGGAGAAGACCCGCCGCCACACCGACCAGCCCGUGACGCAGUGCCGGCUCACCGGGUGUUCUCCUCGCUCUUUCUGUAUCUGCAGUUCCGUAUCACGCACGACUCACUGGCGCCUUCGCUCUCCUUCCUCUCCCUCCUUGUCAUCGCUUCUUUCGUUUCCGCCUUUGCGAAUUCACUCGCCGGCGCUACCGACGGCGCUUUCGAAG
rnacentral:misc_RNA from 1 species